GAGGGUAUAACUCAAGCGAUAGAAUGUAUGCUUAGCAUGCAUGAGGUCCUGGGUUCAAUUCCCAGUACCUCCU
rnacentral:tRNA from 1 species